UACGUAGGGUGCAAGCGUUAAUCGGAAUUACUGGGCGUAAAGCGUGCGCAGGCGGUUGUGCAAGACAGAUGUGAAAUCCCCGGGCUUAACCUGGGAACUGCAUUUGUGACUGCACGGCUAGAGUGCGGCAGAGGGGGAUGGAAUUCCGCGUGUAGCAGUGAAAUGCGUAGAUAUGCGGAGGAACACCGAUGGCGAAGGCAAUCCCCUGGGCCUGUACUGACGCUCAUGCACGAAAGCGUGGGGAGCAAACAGG
rnacentral:rRNA from 1 species